rnacentral:rRNA from 1 species
GACGAACGCUGGCGGCGUGCCUAAUACAUGCAAGUCGAACGAACAGACCAGCAUCUUGCUCCUCUGACGGUAGCGGCGGACGGGUGAGUAACACGUGGAUAACCUACCUAUAAGACUCGGAUAACUUCGGGAAACUGGAGACAAUACCUGAUUAUAUAUUGAACCGCAUGGUGCAAUCGUUAAUGGCGGUUUUGCUUUCACUGGUAGAUGGUUCGGCGCCGCAUUAUCUAGUUGGUAAGGUAACGGCUUACCAAGGCAACGAUGCGUAGCCGACCUGAGAGGGUGAUCGGCCACGCUGGAACUGAGACACGGUCCAGGCUCCUACGGGUGGCAGCAGUAGGGGAGCUUAAGCAAUGGGCGAAAGCCUGACGGAGAAACGGCGCGUGAGUGAUGAAGGUCUUCGGAUCGUAAAACUCUGUUAUUAGGGAAGAACAGAUGUGUAAGUAACUAUGAACGUCUUGACGGUACCUGAACAGAAAGCCACGGCUAACUACGUG